UUAAUUAGGCUAAUUCAUUUUUCAUUAUUAUUAUUAUUUUUUAAUUACAAUUAUCCCUUCAUAAUUAGCCAUUCAUGUUUCGUGUUUAUAAAAAUAUUACAUUUACAAUUUUAGCAUUCAUAAUAUUAGUCGAUUGUGUUUUGAUGGCAGGUUUGAUUAUUACCAAGUUAUCUCUGUACUGUUUUAGCAACAUUAAGUAAAGUAACUAUACAGUACUGUAGCAGAUACGAUGGUUACCAUGGUGAAUGUUCAUAAGGGAGGCGCGCGCAACUAUGUGUAUGCAUUACAUCACUUCAAAUUCGGUCUCUAUUCAUUUCUAUAGCCAUACCUAACUAAAGUAGUAACAUAUAUACAAAUUUGUUAUUUAUAUAAUACAUCGAAAUAUGCACUAAAUUUGAUGCAGAGCGUCAACAUUUUAACGUAACUUUAAAUGGGAGGCGUGGUCGCUCUCUCCUACCCCGCCCCCCUCCGACGUCAGAGGCGUCGUGUGAAUUUACCGCUAUCAAAAAGGCCUUAAAACUCGAUUCCACCCCCGAAAAAUACCAACGGGCUGCUGUUGGUCAUUUCGCAAUCUUUUGUUUCUGCAUCACCAGAAAAUGUGUUACGGAAUUUGCGCAUAUAUCUGCCCGACUGAAGGGGCAUUACAGGGUGCAAAAUCACUCGAAUGGGCCAAUGAACACCUCCAGUGUGGGGUUUUAUUGCCCCCUCCUAAAGCAUUUGGUGAGGAUGAAUGGGAAGCCAUAUUCUCACUGACUUAACGAGGAAACACAUGAAGCCUUUUAGUCAUUCUCGCCCAUAAAUAUAAUGCGUAACAUAGGCGACAUAAAGGACAUUUCUUAUUCCUUCAGCCCCUGGUUGCAGACUCUGGAAUCCUCUCUGCUCAGCAGUUAUUGAAGUGAGGAGAAGGUACAUCUCCAUGGCAACCAGUGGUGCAGACACGUUGAAAAGCUGUCGUCUCUUCUGGUGUCUGCAGAGGAGGAUCAAAGCAAAACUCGCAGCCAGAGAGAGAGAGAGAUGGAGAGAGAUUUUGGGGUGAACUAGAGGACGCCGUCUUUGUAGCAAACCAGGGUAACCCAGUUGCCGCUGUAUUGAAGGCAGUAUAUUUCUCUGUAAACAUAUUCAAUUAAGACAUCAAACUUCAAACCGUACGAUGAAAAAGAAUGUCAAUGAGAGAAAAAAGGGUUUGGGGUCAUACUGAGUGCUUCUGCUUCUGUUCUAGGAUUCAAAAGCAGACUUCUUUUGAUGAAAUAAUCAUCGCUUGGUAGAAGUGCAAGUUGUGGUCCAGACGCUCACGGAGAUGCAGCUGAAAUUUAAUGAGUUGGGGAAAAUUGCUGACAUUUUU